rnacentral:snRNA from 1 species
GCGUCGGCCUGUGGGCUCCC